rfam:Triticum aestivum genome assembly, contig: Triticum_aestivum_CS42_TGACv1_scaffold_328501_4BS
AUCAUACUCCCUCCGUCCGGAAAUACUUGUCAGAGAAAUGGAUGUAUCUAGACGUAUUCUAGUUCUAAAUACAUCCAUUUUGAUCCAUUUCCGCGACAAGUAAUUCCGGAUGGAGGGAGUAUAUU